rnacentral:lncRNA from 1 species
AUUUAGGAUUAGGUUUCGGGUUAUGGUUAGGGUUCAGGUUCGGGUUCAGUUUCGGAUUCAGGUUCGGGUUAGGGUUAGGGUUAGGGUUCGGGUUAGGGUUAGGGUUCAGGUUAGGUUAGGGUUUGGGUUCGGGUUAGGGUUACUGUUAGGGUUAGGUUUUGCUAGCAGGAGUUCAACCCCAACGAACACAGCCCGGAGACCCCUGGGGCAAAAACGGUUUCCGAGGAACAAUAGGUUCUUAAUUUAUCCCAAGUGGGGGUAGCCAGGUAAACAAUGCCACACACACAGGUGUAAGAGACGGCAUUCCCCAGUCAUGGUCUAAGCCCCUCGCCUCGUCCCUGUACUUUGGGGAGCCUGAGGGACACCCGAGGCCCACGGCCCUGAGACCCAUUUGGCCAAAAGCCGGCAUCCAACGGAAACAGUUUUCCUGAGGUACGCACCCUAUCACAAGAGGUUAUGGCAAGGUAAAGCAAAUGCCAUCCACUUCUCUGGAAGAAACCACAGUGCCCAGCC